UACAGAGGUCUCGAGCGUUUGUUCGGAUUCAUUGGGCGUAAAGGGCGCGUAGGCGGCGGGGUAAGUCUGGUGUGAAAUCUCGGAGCUCAACUCCGAAAUUGCACUGGAUACUGCUCUGCUAGAGGGCUGGAGAGGAGAUCGGAAUUCACGGUGUAGCAGUGAAAUGCGUAGAUAUCGUGAGGAAGACCAGUGGCGAAGGCGGAUCUCUGGACAGCUCCUGACGCUGAGGAGCGAAAGCGUGGGGAGCGAACAGG
rnacentral:rRNA from 1 species